AUGUUUACUCAAAAAUGGCUGAAGAAGAAGUCCCAGUCGGUGGACAUCGGCUCUCAAGGCUUUCCAGCACGCCUCAUCCCGAGUCUGUCCUUAAACAGAUCUUCACCACCUGCUGCCAAGACAAACACAUCUGAGGUGCAGGAGAACAACACCACCAAUGCCCAGCGCCGUGUGCCACGCUGCAGCGAUCUGAAAAGGGGAUACACCAUAGAUACCGGCCAGAAGAAGACGCCGGAGAAGAAGGAUGGAAGACGGAUGUCGUUCCAGAGACCGAAGGGCACCAUCGAGUAUUCCGUGGAGUCGCGGGACACUCUGAACAACAUCGCUCUGAAGUUUGACACCACUCCCAAUGAACUUGUUCAACUCAACAAACUCUUCUCCAGAAAUGUGGUCCCGGGUCAGGUCUUGUAUGUUCCAGAUCCGGAGUACGUGUCCAGCGCGGGCAGCUCUCCCUCCUUCAGUCCCAGCAGCCCUCUCUCUCCAACAUCAUCUGAAGCUGACCUGGAGAAAGUUACCACGGACUCUAAUGGUCCUCCUCGCUCCGAUGCUCCCGCUCCUCCAGUCCUCUCUGCCCUGCGCUCAUCCCGUGUGGUUUCCUCCACCUCGGAAGAAGAGGAGGCGCUGACAGAGAAGUUCCUCAAAAUCAACUGCAAGUACAUCACAGACGGCAAGGGUGUUGUUAGUGGGGUGUUGCUGGUGACACCCAACAACAUCAUGUUUGACCCUCACCGGACGGACCCUCUGGUUCUGGAAAAAGGCUGUGAGGAGUACGGCAUCAUGUGUCCACUAGAGGAGGUUCAGUCUGCCGCUGUCUACAAAGAGAUCAUAGACAGCAAGAUCCGGGAUUCUGUGACGGAUCUUGAAGCUGUGUUCUCAAGCUUCUCACAUCAGACAGACCAGCGUUAUGACAGUGCCAGCACUGCCCCUCGCAGCACCGAGGGCUCCUUCUCUGAAGACGUCUUCACCGAAUCAGAGCUCUCACCCAUCCGUGAGGAGCACCAGUCCACAGAAGAGCUCCAGCAAGAGGAUAAAUCUUCAGGAGCUUCAUCCCAGUCCGUCAAGACCCUCCUCCAGGAGCCUCAGAGCCAUACAGAAGAGAAGGACAAUGAUGGAGAACCAGCCGGAGACACUGCCAAACCCAUACAGGAUGAACCCACCAGCAGGGACCACCAGCAAACGCCCCACUGCCAGACUGAAGGAGAGCCCGCAGCACAGGAGAGCAGCGCUGAGGGGGUUAAACUGACCAGAGACGGGACUCGAGACUCGGAGACGGACGUGGAGGAGCUGAGGAAGAUGUGCAAGACUCACACUAUGCAACAGGCCAAGGAGCAGAGAGAGAGCGUCCAGCAGGCCCAGAGAGAGAGCGAGCAGCAGACCACAGAACAGAGCCAGAGACUGAGCUCUGCUGAGGGCCCUGUGGUGUCCAAGGAGAGGCAGAAGUCUCACAAGUUUCUGUGUCUGCGGGUUGGCAAGGCCAUGAAGAAGACGUUUGUGUCCAACGCCAGCGCCUCCAUGCAGCAGUAUGCACAGCGAGACCGCAAGCAUGAAUACUGGUUCGCUGUUCCCCAAGAGAGGUCAGACCACCUGUACGUGUUCUUCAUCCAGUGGAGCCCAGAUGUGUUUGGAGACGGAUUAGGAAGCAUCAGUCGUGACCCAGGCUUCAUCGUGGUAAAGAAAAUUGAGGAGUCUGAGGCAAACGAGGAGCAGCAACCUGAGGAAAACUCAGAGAAGGAGUGGGAGGUAGUGUCGUGGACUGAGUAUCACCGCCGGAUCGAUGCGUUAAACAGUGAAGAUCUGCGCUCCCUAUGCAAACGCCUCCAGAUCACCACGAAGGAGGAUGUGAACUCCAAACAUGGCACAUCCAUCACCGCCAGCCUGGAGCCGGAGACUUUCAAGCCGAAUCUAAACGAACCCAGUGACCUUCUGGAGGCCGAGCAGAUUGAGAAGUUGGCAAAACAUCUUCCACCCAGAACCAUCGGUUACCCCUGGAAUCUGGCCUUCAGCACAUCUAAACAUGGCAUGAGCAUUAAGACUUUGUACAGAGCGAUGCAGGACCAAGACUCUCCAAUGCUGCUGGUCAUCAAAGACAGUGAUGGACAGAUAUUUGGGGCUUUGGCAUCAGAACCCUUCAAAGUCAGCGAGGGUUUUUAUGGCACUGGAGAGACUUUCCUCUUCACCUUCUAUCCAGAGUUUGAGGCGUAUAAAUGGACUGGCGAUAAUCUGUUCUUUAUUAAAGGAGACAUGGACUCUUUAGCCUUCGGUGGAGGAAGCGGCGAAUUCGGCCUUUGGCUGGACGGGGAUCUUUACCACGGCAGGAAUCACUCAUGCAAAACCUUCGGGAAUCCCAUGCUCUCCAUGAAGGAGGAUUUCUUCGUGCAGGAUAUUGAGAUCUGGUCGUUCGAGUAG
ensembl:processed_transcript oxr1a oxidation resistance 1a